AAGACUGACUGGUUGCGAAUGGACCCAUCCUUUCAAACAGAAGAGGUGGUCUCCUUAGAACAAAGUUGUUUUACCAUGACAAUUGAUCGUUUGUUUGUUUUUUUGUUUUUGGUGGGGGGGCACGAAGAGGGAGUGUUUAAAUCAGAUUAAAUUAAUGUUCUUUAAAAAUACCAGUUGGAUAGCCAUGAAAAAUGAAAUUGUCUAGCUGCUUAACAUGAACAUGCUUCGAUCCUGUGACAGAGAAACCUCUUCCUAAAGGUUGGAGGGUUUUUUUUUUGUUUGUUUGUUUUUUUCCCCAGCACAAUGGGGUUUAUUGGGAGAGGGGGUCACAGGCGGUGGGGGGAAGAGUCUGCCAUCUUCUCAAGAGGCCUCAUCAGUUUGCACUGUUGCAGCCCUUCCCCAUGAGGGGCAGGACCCAUGUCCAUGGUGGGCGGGGGCUGGCACAUCUGUCCCCUGGGCCUGGAAUCAGCCGACCAUGAGAGGUAGUCAGGACCGAAUGGUCCCCUGGCUCAACCCAUGAAGUUGAUGACGACGAGGUGCAGGAUGGUGCUGGUGAAGAGGAAGAGAUAGGAAGAGUACA